UUCAGUAUGUAAAUGAAUAUGUUAUGAAGUUUGUGAAGAUUUGCAUAUUAACUACUCUAAAAACUUCACUAGUGAUCUGUGUGUAUUCAGCUGUGCCAGAACCAACAGAACACAAUGUCUCUUAUUCUGAUAAUGGGAACACUGGGUCUGCUUGCUCAAGGGUCCUAUCAGGAGGUUCAGUCUCCUGAAUUUCUGUCAGUUAAAGAAUCAGAAUCUGCCUCUAUUAGCUGUACUGGGACCAGUGGAGUUGAUGAUGACAUGAGCUGGUAUCUGCAGAAACCUGGAGAAGCUCCUAAACUCCUGAUCUAUGAUGCAAAUCGACGUGCAUCUGGAAUCUCAGAUCGGUUCAGUGGAAGUCAAUCUGGACUCCUUUUCACACUGACCAUACGUGAAGCCAAACCUGAAGAUGCAGGAGAUUAUUACUGUAUGGGGGCUUAUAGUGGAAGGCGCACACAGUGAAAUUCUGUCAUACAAAAACCUCCCUUAGUCAGAAAGCAAAGAGAGAAGCUCACCACCAUAUCAGUCUGUUGAGACAGAUCACCUGUUUGUCUUGUGGAUAUCCACUUGAUAUUUUGUUAUAAAAUUAUUGUAACAACAUAUUGUAGAUGUUAGCAAUAAUU